rnacentral:sRNA from 1 species
CCAGCUUCUACUCAGAGCUCUUCACGCUCUACCUGCUGCUUCAUGAGCGGGAGGACAGCUUCUACAGCCAGGGCAUUGCCAACUUGAGCCUCUUUCCUGAUACCCAACUGCUCGAGUUCCUGGAUGUGCAGAAGCACUUGUGGCCCCUCAAGGACCUCACGCUGACGAGCAAUCAGAGGUACUCCCUGGUCAGGGACAAGUGUUUCCUGUCAGCCACCGAGUGCCUGCAGAAGAUCAUGACCACGGUGGACCCACGGGAGAAGCUGGAGGUGCUGGAGAGGACAUACGGGGAAAUUGAGGGCACGGUGUCGAGGGUGCUGGGCCGGGAGUACAAGCUGCCCAUGGACGACCUGCUGCCACUUCUCAUCUACGUGGUGUCGCGCGCCCGGUGAGGCAGACAGGAGCUGGGGGUGCAGGGCAGGGGAAGGGUCCCACCCCCAACCACGAUAUCUUCUGAUACCUCUGAACCCCAGGGUUUAUGGAUGCAGCUUCUCUCUGUACAGAUGGGGAAGCCAAGGCCCAGAAAAGGGAGGGUCCCAGCCAGGGUGCUGGGGUGCUAGAGGUAGAGUGAGGACCACACCCCAGGUGUCCAGCCAUCCAGGCCAGCGCUCCUUCCCCAGCUGCCUGUCCGCGACAGCCCUCUUCUCCUUGUCUCCCUCGCUCUCUUGGUGGGGCGGUGUUCUCCAGAAUUCAGCACCUGGGAGCCGAGAUCCACCUGAUCCGUGACAUGAUGGACCCCAACCACACAGGAGGCCUGUAUGACUUCCUGCUCACAGCCCUGGAGUCCUGUUACGAGCACAUCCAGAAAGAAGACAUGAGGCUGCACCGCUUACCUGGCCACUGGCACUCCAGGGAGCUCUGGUAGCCUGGCCUUUCCUGGACAGACUGCAGAGCUGAGCAGGGCACUGCCAGCCUGUCCCUCAUUACCCAAGGCAAGGGGCAGGAGAGGCCCUCGGAAGCAGCUCUUGGAGGAGAUGAGCAUUUUGUUUUGCACAGGAAGAUGCUGCUGCUGCCCUGACUGGGAUGAGGGUGAGGGGUGACGGGUGUGGCCCUGGAUGUGGUGGU